AACGAACGCUGGCGGCAUGCCUAACACAUGCAAGUCGAACGAGACCUUCGGGUCUAGUGGCGCACGGGUGCGUAACGCGUGGGAACCUGCCCUUAGGUUCGGAAUAACUCCCCGAAAGGGGUGCUAAUACCGGAUAAUGUCUUCGGACCAAAGAUUUAUCGCCUUUGGAUGGGCCCGCGUUGGAUUAGCUAGUUGGUAGGGUAAAAGCCUACCAAGGCGACGAUCCAUAGCUGGUCUGAGAGGAUGAUCAGCCACACUGGGACUGGGACACGGCCCAGACUCCUACGGGAGGCAGCAGUGGGGAAUAUUGGACAAUGGGCGAAAGCCUGAUCCAGCAAUGCCGCGUGAGUGAUGAAGGCCUUAGGGUUGUAAAGCUCUUUUGCCCGGGAUGAUAAUGACAGUACCGGGAGAAUAAGCUCCGGCUAACUCCGUG
rnacentral:rRNA from 1 species